AUACGGAGGGUGCAAGCGCUAUUCGGAAUCACUGGGCGUAAAGGACGCGUAGGCGGGUUGGCAAGUCAGAUGUGAAAUCCUACAGCUUAACUGUAGAACUGCAUUUGAAACUGCUAACCUAGAGUAUGGGAGGGGGAGAUGGAAUUAGUGGUGUAGGGGUAAAAUCCGUAGAUAUCACUAGGAAUACCGAAAGCGAAGGCGAUCUCCUGGAACAUAACUGACGCUAAGGCGUGAAAGCGUGGGGAGCAAACAGGAUUAGAUACCCUAGUAGUCC
rnacentral:rRNA from 1 species